UGGGCCAAGGCUGGGGUGGUCACAGCAUUCACAAGAGUGUAAGAGCAGGCAGCAUAAGGAACAUCUACAAAGGAACAAGAGGGAAAAUAGCCAAGACUUUAUAGACAAUCCCUCUGCUUUAGUUAGGUGGUUGCAGAUAAAGUAUAAAAGACAUCUGAUAAUAGUAUAAAAGACAUCUUUAGAUCUUCACUGGCUCUGAGGACUGCUUCAAAAGAUAGAAGAGGAACACUAAUCAACACAUCUGCCAGAUCAAACUUUGACCAAGGGACCUCUGAGAGUUGUUAACUGUCUCCCAUCCUGUUAAGAAACUACAUGCUCACUUACCCUUAACAAAAGCAUGAAUCAUCAAGUGACAUCAAGUUACUUUUGAGUUGUUUGGAAUAGUGAGGGGUAGAAUAACUUGCCUCUCUUUGUGCCACUUGCCUCCAGUCAGGAGGGAAAAAACUCAGAAAAUGGAGUUCCAAAACUAGUCAUGUGAUCACAACCACAACUAACAAUUAUAUAUUUGCUAUGUUCCAAA